CAGCGUGCUGGGUCUCCAUCCUGCAGGCAACCAUGCAGCUGCUGUGGUCCCUCCUCUGCCUUCUGGCAGCUCCCCUGGGUGUCCUAUCUCAACUUACACUUCAGGAGUCAGGCCCAGGACUGGUGAAGCCCUCACAGACACUCUCUCUCACAUGUGUUGUCUCCAGGGGCUCCGUCACCAGCAGUUACUAUUGGAACUGGAUCCGCCAGCGCCCUGGGAGAGCACUGGAGUGGAUGGGCUACUGGACAGGUAGUACAAGCUACAACCCGGCUUUCCAGGGCCGCAUCUCCAUCACUGCUGACACAUCCAAGAACCAGUUCUCCCUGCAGCUGAGUUCCGUGACCACCGAGGACACAGCCGUGUAUUACUGUGCUAGAGGCACACUGAGGAGAAAUCAGU